rnacentral:rRNA from 1 species
GCAGUCGACGAGAACUCUUCUGCUUGCAGAAGAUAGUAAAGUGGCGCACGGGUGAGUUAACGCGUGGGUAAUCUACCUCCGAAUCUGGGAUAACCCGCCGAAAGGCGAGCUAAUACCGGAUAAUAUCUUUAAACUUCGGUUUUUAAGAUCAAAGGUGGUCUCUACAUGUAAGCUACUGUUUGGAGAUGAGCCCGCGUACCAUUAGCUUGUUGGUAGGGUAAUGGCCUACCAAGGCCGCGAUGGUUAGCUGGUCUGAGAGGAUGAUCAGCCACACUGGAACUGACACACGGUCCAGACUCCUACGGGAGGCAGCAGUGAGGAAUUUUGCGCAAUGGGGGAAACCCUGACGCAGCAACGCCGCGUGAGUGAUGAAGGCUUUCGGGUCGUAAAGCUCUGUCAAGUGGGAAGAACCUGCUGGAUGCUAAUAUCAUCCGGCACUGACGGUACCACUAAAGGAAGCACCGGCUAACUCCGUGCCAGCAGCCGCGGUAAUACGGGGGGUGCAAGCGUUAUUCGGAAUUAUUGGGCGUAAAGGGCGCGUAGGCGGUCUCUAAAGUCAGAUGUGAAAGCCCGGGGCUUAACCCCGGAAGUGCAUUUGAAACUUAGGGACUUGAGUAUGGGAGAGGG